rnacentral:rRNA from 1 species
UACGAAGGUCCCGAGCGUUGUUCGGAAUCACUGGGCGUAAAGGGAGCGUAGGCGGCGUGGUAAGUCAGAUGUGAAAUCCCGGGGCUCAACCCCGGAACUGCAUCCGAUACUGCCGUGCUAGAGGAUUGGAGAGGUAGCUGGAAUUCUUGGUGUAGCAGUGAAAUGCGUGGAGAUCAAGAGGAACACUCGUGGCGAAAGCGAGCUACUGGACAAUAUCUGACGCUGAUGCGCGAAAGCGUGGGUAGCAAACAGG